GACGAACGCUGGCUGCGUGCUUAACACAUGCAAGUCGAACGAAGUGGCGAACGGGUGAGUAACGCGUAAUCAACCUGCCCUUCAGAGGGGGACAACAGUUGGAAACGACUGCUAAUACCGCAUACUGAAGGAGGGGAUUGCGUCUGAUUAGCUAGUUGGCGGGGUAACGGCCCUCAAAGGCGAUGCUCAGUAGCCGGUCUGCGGUGAUGAACGGCCACAUUGGGACGGAGACAAGGCCGAGAAACCUACGGGAGGCAGCAGUGGGGAAUAGUCCGCAAUGGACGAAAGUCUGACGGAGCAACGCCGCGUGAGUGAUGACGGCCUUCGGGUUGUAAAGCUCUGUUAAGCGGGACGCGGUACCGGAAUAGAAAGGCACGGCUAACUACGUGCCAGCCGCCGCGGUAAUUC
rnacentral:rRNA from 1 species